CUUGAACGCUGGCGGCAGGCUUAACACAUGCAAGUCGAGCGGGGGAGGGUAGCUUGCUACCUAACCUAGCGGCGGACGGGUGAGUAAUGCUUAGGAAUCUGCCAUUUAGUGGGGGACAACAUUCCGAAAGGAAUGCUAAUACCGCAUACGUCCUACGGGAGAAAGCAGGGGAUCUUCGGACCUUGCGCUAAAUGAUGAGCCUAAGUCGGAUUAGCUAGUUGGUGGGGUAAAGGCCUAACAAGGCGACGAUCUGUAGCGGGUCUGAGAGGAUGAUCCGCCACACUGGGACUGAGACACGGCCCAGACUCCUACGGGAGGCAGCAGUGGGGAAUAUUGGACAAUGGGCGGAAGCCUGAUCCAGCCAUGCCGCGUGUGUGAAGAAGGCCUUAUGGUUGUAAAGCACUUUAAGCGAGGAGGAGGCUACCUAGAUUAAUACUCUAGGAUAGUGGACGUUACUCGCAGAAUAAGCACCGGCUAACUCUGUGCCAGCAGCCGCGGUAAAAC
rnacentral:rRNA from 1 species